AAUAAAUGGGAAAGAAGAAAUCGUUUUUCCCGGCAACCACUGCACCAAAUAAUAUGAGGUUUGUUGCAUUUAAAAGAAAGGGGUAAAAUAUAAUCUAGAUGACCAUGUUCUUUAU
rnacentral:lncRNA from 1 species